CUGAGAAGACACUAAUGAGUGAGGCUGAUAGAGUUUGGGUUCCUCAUGAAGGAGAAGUUCCCGACAGGAGAGACACUGAGCACGUGGACGAGCUACAAGCCAGACCAUUCCAGUUCCCACGAGUGUGAUGGAGAAGGAGGAAGAACAAAUACACAGAGUGGGACUUGGGUAACCCAUGGAUUUCAGUACCACUGCCAUAUCUCCAGCCCUGUUUCGUAGAUGGUGAAAAUGAGGCUCCGAGAGGCUAAUGACACUCCUCUUCCCAUUACGUUUGCAGGUGAAAGAAACGGCUUACCUCCUACUUCCUGUGGAGCAAAGCGUGGGCAAGGAUCAGCUUUGAUUAUGGAGGUGAAGGGAGCAUACUAGGGGCUGGUGUAACUGGAAGAUGGAUGGAACCUGGGCGUCUGAAUGACUAUGUGGGGCAGAGCUGCCCUGUCAGCUUGGACUACUCAUCUCUGAU